UACAGGGGGGGCAAGCGUUGUUCGGAAUUACUGGGCGUAAAGGGCUCGUAGGCGGCCAACUAAGUCCGACGUGAAAUCCCAAAGCUUAACUUUGGAACUGCGUCGGAUACUGGAUGGCUUGAAUUCGGGAGAGGGAUGCAGAAUUCCAGGUGUAGCGGUGAAAUGCGCAGAUAUCAGGAGGAACACCGGUGGCGAAGGCGGGUCUCUGGGCCGAUACUGACGCUGAGGAGCGAAAGCGUGGGGAGCGAACAGG
rnacentral:rRNA from 1 species